UAAGGCUGUUGAUGAUAAGGCAUCAUCAAGCAUCAUCAAGCAUCAUCAAGCAUCUUCUCAAUUAAACAAGCUGUUCUAGUAAGAACUAAUCUGCCUACUUUCCUUUCACAACUGGACAAAAUUUGGUCCAAACCAGUUAGGCAGUUCACAGAAAAUAGGAGAAGGAUUGAAGGAAGAACUGCAGAUCAAGGAGAAAGAACAUCAGAAAGGUGCCACAGAAGCCCUGAAAAAUAACUGGAGAAGACUCAAUAAGAACAUAAGAACAGCCCUGCUGGAUCAGGCCCAAGGCCCAUCUAGUCCAGCAUCCUGUUUCGCACAGUGGCCCACCCGAUACCGCUGGAAGCCACAGACAGGAGUUGAGGGCAUGCCCUCUCUCCUGCCAUUACUCCCCUGCAACUGGUACUCAGAGGCACCCUGCCUUUGAGGCUGGAGGUGGCCCACAGCCCUCCGACUAGUAGCCAUUGAUAGACCUCUCCUCCAUGAAGUCAUCCAAACCCCUCUUAAAGCCAUCCAGGUUGUUGGCUGUCACCACAUCCUGUGGCAGAGAGUUCCACAAGUGGAUCAUGUUUUGUGUGAAAAAGUACUUCCGUUUGUUGAUCCUAGACCUCCUGGCAAUCAAUUUCAUGGAGUGACCCCUGGUUCUAGUGUUGUGUGAGAGGAAAAAGAAUCUCUCUCUCUCCACUUUCUCCACACCAUGCAUUACCUUAUAGACCUUUAUCAUGUCUCCCCACAGUUGUCUUUUUUCUAAACUAAAAAGCCCCAGGUGUUGUAGUCUUGCUACAACAGUGUUGUAGUCUAAGAAGCAGGAGAGACAAAACUUGCAGGUGCCCCUCCUUGGGGCUGGCUGGCUGGUUUCAUGCUUUUCUUCAUGACUGAAGGCAAUUCCAUCACACAAAAUAUCCCCACAUCGCUGUGAGGCAGCUGCAACCUGAAGACGGUGGUUGUCUCCAAAGGACUUGUGGCAUCUAAACAUUGGCAGAGCUCCAUGAAGCUGCUUAGCCUGUCAGCUGGUGGGGGUUUCCAAAGAGCGGCAUGCUUGAGGGGCAGUUUUCUGUCCGUUCAGUCUUCACGCCUGACCUCGUGUCUCUGCUACUUCCUGCUCUGAGAAGUCCCCAAGAUACUUGGAGUGUGGUUUUCUUCAUACCUGUGUUGAUAUCUCUGCUCUGGAUUGCUCAGAGCAACCACUGAGAUGAGCGCGGAGCCGCUGGCCUUGGUUGUGUCCAGGGUUUUAUCCUGGAUGGCUUCUCCGCCCCCCAUUAUUUCUGUAUGCUGCUUGCAAUAUUGUUUAAAUACAAACUUAAAAUACGUUAAAAGCUAAAACAUAAAUAGCUGUUGCUUAGGAUAACAUCUAAAAGUAUAGGAUACCUGUAAUAUAAGACGUAGGAUAAAAUUUAACAGGAUAGGAUAAAAUCUAAAAAGAAUGAAAUAUUGUAUUAUAAUAUAAGAAAUAAAAUCUAUUAAUUAGGAAGGCUAAUGGAAAAUAGAAUGAAGCAUUAUAGCAAUAGCAAUAGCACUUACAUUUAUAUACCGCUCUAUAGCCGGAGCUCUCUAAGCGGUUUACAAUGAUUUAGCAUAUUGCCCCCAACAUUCUGGGUACUCAUUUUACCGACCUCGGAAGGAUGGAAGGCUGAGUCAACCUUGAGCCCCUGGUCAGGAUUGAACUUGUAACCUUCUGGUUACAGGGCGGCAGUUUUACCACUGCUCUACCGGGGGCUCAAAGCAGAUUAGAUAUUUUAGACCAACUAGUGUAUUAAAAUAAUAUUCAAAGCAGCAUAUGAAAAUGAUGAGAAAAAGCACAUUGAUACUAAAAGCCUCAAAGGCCAGAACACAUGCAACUGAUUGCUCCUAGGACCAGUCCCUCAGGUAGCUCUUAAGUGGCUCCUGGUCUCGUCCUGCUAGGAUCCUACAGACUUCCCCAUCUUGAUCCGCGGGGGGGGGGGGGGGUUUGAUGUAGAAAUAAAGAUCAUUAUUAAUUGUCUUUGUAUAGCUUUGCUUACUGACAUGCUUAUAGGAUGCUGAAGAUGGUAUUUCUGUCAAGCACACAGAAUUGAUCCUUAUUCCAAGUUGUCUUAAUCUGUGUUUUAUUGUAAAUGGCCCAGAGACAUGAGUCUUGGGUGGUAUACAAAUAUGCUAAAUAAAAAGUUGUCAAUAUUGUCUGCUAGAAUUAAAGGUUGCCAUAGUUUGUUGGAA